rnacentral:rRNA from 1 species
UACGUAGGCAGCAAGCGUUGUUCGGAGUUACUGGGCGUAAAGGGUGUGUAGGCGGUUGUUUAAGUUUGGUGUGAAAUCUCCCGGCUCAACCGGGAGGGUGCGCCGAAUACUGAAUAACUAGAGUGCGGGAGAGGAAAGUGGAAUUCCUGGUGUAGCGGUGAAAUGCGCAGAUAUCAGGAAGAACACCCGUGGCGAAAGCGGCUCUCUGGAACGGUACUGACGCUGAGACGCGAAAGCGUGGGGAGCGAACAGG